ACUUGAUGAUGUGGGCAUUUACGGAGUAAGUCCCUAAAGUGCUCCCAGGUCUUAAAGAAAAGUUCCCCAUCCAUUAGUGAAAAACUCGUGAUUGCUCUCUGAAGCU